UACGUAGGGGGCUAGCGUUGUCCGGAAUCAUUGGGCGUAAAGAGCGUGUAGGCGGCCCGGUAAGUCCGCUGUGAAAGUCCAGGGCUCAACCCUGGGAUGCCGGUGGAUACUGUCGGGCUCGAGUCCGGAAGAGGAGUGUGGAAUUCCUGGUGUAGCGGUGAAAUGCGCAGAUAUCAGGAGGAACACCUGUGGUGUAGACGGCUUUCUGGACCAUAGCUGACGCUGAGACACGAAAGCGUGGGUAGCAAACAGG
rnacentral:rRNA from 1 species